GAUGAACGCUGGCGGCGUGCCUAAUACAUGCAAGUCGAGCGAACGGACGAGAAGCUUGCUUCUCUGAUGUUAGCGGCGGACGGGUGAGUAACACGUGGAUAACCUACCUAUAAGACUGGGAUAACUUCGGGAAACCGGAGCUAAUACCGGAUAAUAUUUUGAACCGCAGGGUUCAAAAGUGAAAGACGGUCUUGCUGUCACUUAUAGAUGGGUCCGCGCUGCAUUAGCGAGUUGGUAAGGUAACGGCUUACCAAGGCAACGAUGCAUAGCCGACCUGAGAGGGUGAUCGGCCACACUGGAACUGGGACACGGUCCAGACUCCUACGGGAGGCCGCAGUAGGGAAUCUUCCGCAAUGGGCGAAAGCAUGACGGAGCAACGCCGCGUGAGUGAUGAAGGUCUUCGGAUCGUAAAGCUCUGUUAUUAGGGAAGAACAUAUGUGUAAGUAACUGUGCACAUCUUGACGGUACCUAAUCAGAAAGCCACGGCUAACUACGUG
rnacentral:rRNA from 1 species